GUGGCUCAGUGAUAUAGUGCUUGCCUUGCAUGCAUGAGGCCCUGGGUUCGAUUCCUAGC
rnacentral:tRNA from 1 species